rnacentral:rRNA from 1 species
AGGACGAACGCUGGCGGCGUGUUUAACACAUGCAAGUCGAGCGGAAAGGCCCUUCGGGGUACUCGAGCGGCGAACGGGUGAGUAACACGUGAGCAAUCUGCCCUUAGCUUCGGGAUAGCCCCGGGAAACCGGGAUUAAUACCGAAUACGACCUCGGCCGACAUCGGCUUUGGUGGAAAGUUUUUCGGCUAGGGAUGAACUCGCGGCCUAUCAGCUUGUUGGUGGGGUAAUGGCCUACCAAGGCGACGACGGGUAGCCGGCCUGAGAGGGCGACCGGCCACACUGGGACUGAGACACGGCCCAGACUCCUACGGGAGGCAGCAGUGGGGAAUAUUGCGCAAUGGGCGAAAGCCUGACGCAGCGACGCCGCGUGGGGGAUGAAGGCCUUCGGGUUGUAAACCCCUUUCAGCAGGACGAAGCGAGAGUGACGGUACCUGCAGAAGAAGCGCCGGCUAACUACGCGCCAGCACGCCGC